rnacentral:rRNA from 1 species
UACGGAAGGCAGCAGUGGGGAAUAUUGCACAAUGGGCGCAAGCCUGAUGCAGCCAUGCCGCGUGCAUGAAGAAGGCCUUCGGGUUGUAAAGUACUUUCAGCGGGGAGGAAGGCGGUGAAGUUAAUAGCUUCACCGAUUGACGUUACCCGCAGAAGAAGCACCGGCUAACUCCGUGCCAGCAGCCGCGGUAAUACGGAGGGUGCAAGCGUUAAUCGGAAUUACUGGGCGUAAAAGCGCACGCAGGCGGUCUGUCAAGUCGGAUGUGAAAUCCCCGGGCUUAACCUGGGAACUGCAUUCGAAACUGGCAGGCUAGAGUCUUGUAGAGGGGGUAGAAUUCCAGGUGUAGCGGUGAAAUGCGUAGAGAUCUGGAGGAAUACCGGUGGCGAAGGCGGCCCCUGGACAAAGACUGACGCUCAGGUGCGAAAGCGUGGGGAGCAAACGAGGAUUAGGAUAACC